rnacentral:rRNA from 1 species
GAUGAACGCUGGCGGCGUGCUUAAUACAUGCAAGUCGAACGGAGACGUUAUAGCAAUAUGAUGUCUUAGUGGCGAACGGGUGAGUAACGCGUUGGUGACCUGCCCCGAAGAGGGGGAUAACAGCUCGAAAGGGCUGCUAAUACCCCAUGUGGUCGCGAAGGUUAGAGGCUUUGCGAUUAAAGGAGUAAUCCACUUCGGGAGGGGCCUGCGUCCCAUCAGCUAGUUGGUAGGGUAAAAGCCUACCACGGCGACGACGGGUAGGGGGCCUGAGAGGGUGACCCCCCACACUGGCGCUGAAACACGGGCCAGACACCGACGGGUGGCAGCAGUAGGGAAUAUUGCACAAUGGGCGAAAGCCUGAUGAAGCAACGCCGCGUGCGCGAUGAAGGCCUUCGGGUCGUAAAGCGCUUUUUGGGGAGAUGAGGAAGGACAGUAUCCCCAGAAUAAGGUUCGGCUAACUACGUGCCAGCCGCCGCCGUAACAC